rnacentral:rRNA from 1 species
AGCGUACACGGUGGAUGCCCUGGCAGUCAGAGGCGAUGAAGGACGUGCUAAUCUGCGAUAAGCGUCGGUAAGGUGAUAUGAACCGUUAUAACCGGCGAUUUCCGAAUGGGGAAACCCAGUGUGUUUCGACACACUAUCAUUAACUGAAUCCAUAGGUUAAUGAGGCGAACCGGGGGAACUGAAACAUCUAAGUACCCCGAGGAAAAGAAAUCAACCGAGAUUCCCCCAGUAGCGGCGAGCGAACGGGGAGCAGCCCAGAGCCUGAAUCAGUGUGUGUGUUAGUGGAAGCGUCUGGAAAGGCGCGCGAUACAGGGUGACAGCCCCGUACACAAAAAUGCACAUGCUGUGAGCUCGAUGAGUAGGGCGGGACACGUGGUAUCCUGUCUGAAUAUGGGGGGACCAUCCUCCAAGGCUAAAUACUCCUGACUGACCGAUAGUGAACCAGUACCGUGAGGGAAAGGCGAAAAGAACCCCGGCGAGGGGAGUGAAAAAGAACCUGAAACCGUGUACGUACAAGCAGUGGGAGCACGCUUAGGCGUGUGACUGCGUACCUUUUGUAUAAUGGGUCAGCGACUUAUAUUCUGUAGCAAGGUUAACCGAAUAGGGGAGCCGAAGGGAAACCGAGUCUUAACUGGGCGUUAAGUUGCAGGGUAUAGACCCGAAACCCGGUGAUCUAGCCAUGGGCAGGUUGAAGGUUGGGUAACACUAACUGGAGGACCGAACCGACUAAUGUUGAAAAAUUAGCGGAUGACUUGUGGCUGGGGGUGAAAGGCCAAUCAAACCGGGAGAUAGCUGGUUCUCCCCGAAAGCUAUUUAGGUAGCGCCUCGUGAAUUCAUCUCCGGGGGUAGAGCACUGUUUCGGCAAGGGGGUCAUCCCGACUUACCAACCCGAUGCAAACUGCGAAUACCGGAGAAUGUUAUCACGGGAGACACACGGCGGGUGCUAACGUCCGUCGUGAAGAGGGAAACAACCCAGACCGCCAGCUAAGGUCCCAAAGUCAUGGUUAAGUGGGAAACGAUGUGGGAAGGCCCAGACAGCCAGGAUGUUGGCUUAGAAGCAGCCAUCAUUUAAAGAAAGCGUAAUAGCUCACUGGUCGAGUCGGCCUGCGCGGAAGAUGUAACGGGGCUAAACCAUGCACCGAAGCUGCGGCAGCGACRCUGAUGYGUUGUUGGGUAGGGGAGCGUUCUGUAAGCCUGYGAAGGUGUGCUGUGAGGCAUGCUGGAGGUAUCAGAAGUGCGAAUGCUGACAUAAGUAACGAUAAAGCGGGUGAAAAGCCCGCUCGCCGGAAGACCAAGGGUUCCUGUCCAACGUUAAUCGGGGCAGGGUGAGUCGACCCCUAAGGCGAGGCCGAAAGGCGUAGUCGAUGGGAAACAGGUUAAUAUUCCUGUACUUGGUGUUACUGCGAAGGGGGGACGGAGAAGGCUAUGUUGGCCGGGCGACGGUUGUCCCGGUUUAAGCGUGUAGGCUGGUUUUCCAGGCAAAUCCGGAAAAUCAAGGCUGAGGCGUGAUGACGAGGCACUACGGUGCUGAAGCAACAAAUGCCCUGCUUCCAGGAAAAGCCUCUAAGCAUCAGGUAACAUCAAAUCGUACCCCAAACCGACACAGGUGGUCAGGUAGAGAAUACCAAGGCGCUUGAGAGAACUCGGGUGAAGGAACUAGGCAAAAUGGUGCCGUAACUUCGGGAGAAGGCACGCUGAUAUGUAGGUGAAGUCCCUCGCGGAUGGAGCUGAAAUCAGUCGAAGAUACCAGCUGGCUGCAACUGUUUAUUAAAAACACAGCACUGUGCAAACACGAAAGUGGACGUAUACGGUGUGACGCCUGCCCGGUGCCGGAAGGUUAAUUGAUGGGGUUAGCCGCAAGGCGAAGCUCUUGAUCGAAGCCCCGGUAAACGGCGGCCGUAACUAUAACGGUCCUAAGGUAGCGAAAUUCCUUGUCGGGUAAGUUCCGACCUGCACGAAUGGCGUAAUGAUGGCCAGGCUGUCUCCACCCGAGACUCAGUGAAAUUGAACUCGCUGUGAAGAUGCAGUGUACCCGCGGCAAGACGGAAAGACCCCGUGAACCUUUACUAUAGCUUGACACUGAACAUUGAGCCUUGAUGUGUAGGAUAGGUGGGAGGCUUUGAAGUGUGGACGCCAGUCUGCAUGGAGCCGACCUUGAAAUACCACCCUUUAAUGUUUGAUGUUCUAACGUUGACCCGUAAUCCGGGUUGCGGACAGUGUCUGGUGGGUAGUUUGACUGGGGCGGUCUCCUCCUAAAGAGUAACGGAGGAGCACGAAGGUUGGCUAAUCCUGGUCGGACAUCAGGAGGUUAGUGCAAUGGCAUAAGCCAGCUUGACUGCGAGCGUGACGGCGCGAGCAGGUGCGAAAGCAGGUCAUAGUGAUCCGGUGGUUCUGAAUGGAAGGGCCAUCGCUCAACGGAUAAAAGGUACUCCGGGGAUAACAGGCUGAUACCGCCCAAGAGUUCAUAUCGACGGCGGUGUUUGGCACCUCGAUGUCGGCUCAUCACAUCCUGGGGCUGAAGUAGGUCCCAAGGGUAUGGCUGUUCGCCAUUUAAAGUGGUACGCGAGCUGGGUUUAGAACGUCGUGAGACAGUUCGGUCCCUAUCUGCCGUGGGCGCUGGAGAACUGAGGGGGGCUGCUCCUAGUACGAGAGGACCGGAGUGGACGCAUCACUGGUGUUCGGGUUGUCAUGCCAAUGGCACUGCCCGGUAGCUAAAUGCGGAAGAGAUAAGUGCUGAAAGCAUCUAAGCACGAAACUUGCCCCGAGAUGAGUUCU